rnacentral:rRNA from 1 species
CGCUGGCGGCGUGCUUAACACAUGCAAGUCGAACGGGAUCCAUCGGGCUUUGCUUGGUGGUGAGAGUGGCGAACGGGUGAGUAAUGCGUGACCGACCUGCCCCAUGCUCCGGAAUAGCUCCUGGAAACGGGUGGUAAUGCCGGAUGUUCCACAUGAUCGCAUGUGAUUGUGGGAAAGAUUCUAUCGGCGUGGGAUGGGGUCGCGUCCUAUCAGCUUGUUGGUGAGGUAACGGCUCACCAAGGCUUCGACGGGUAGCCGGCCUGAGAGGGCGACCGGCCACAUUGGGACUGAGAUACGGCCCAGACUCCUACGGGAGGCAGCAGUGGGGAAUAUUGCACAAUGGGCGCAAGCCUGAUGCAGCGACGCCGCGUGAGGGAUGGAGGCCUUCGGGUUGUAAACCUCUUUUGUUUGGGAGCAAGCCUUCGGGUGAGUGUACCUUUCGAAUAAGCGCCGGCUAACUACGUGCCAGCAGCCGCG